UUUACACCGAGAGAGAACGCCUCUAUCUCCUCUCUACUCAUCCCUACCCUUUAAAAUAGACACUGACACAGUAAAAGAAGACGUGGAGCCCCUUCCCGAGCCCAAGGGUGCUGUUCUGGCUAGAACGCUUUAAAAUUGCUGAGGGUUCUUGGCAUUGGAAAUACUUAAGUAACGUUUUGUUAACCAAACACGGAAUACUGAAGAGUCGUGGUUGCCAAAUCCAGGAAAAAUACGGCCGUUAGGAAAAGUCCAGGGAAAGCAGAUUCAAUGAACAAGCUGUUAAGGGUCCUCUCUUACCAUGUCUGGCUGGCGGCGCCCCAGAUGCCAUGUGAUGACCAUUUGAAGACAGGCCUGUCGGACAUCAGGUGUGCAGCAUUACAACUCUGAGUGGAAGCUCUGAGUACAUGGGCAGGUUUGUGGACACACGGACCUCACACAGGGAAACUGAUGGCCACCAUGUCACACACUGCAGUGGAAACCAUUGACAGAGGAUCCAAUGUGAGUGCCCACCUGGAGUUGUGCAGCAGUGCAGCCCUACAGGAGUAAUACAGAUGGAGUGAGAGUUGCUUAGCGUUCUCCAUCUGACUGCUGCCGCAUCCCUACAGCCUGGGUCCUCUCACCUGGAUGACCAUGGGUAAGAGUUUCCCAUCAGGCUGCAGUUUCAGCAUAACCAGAGGAGCAGCCAGGUACUGCUGGCUACACAGGAUGACGUUGGCCUUGAUCCCAUCCAGCAAGGAGAAGUCAGCUUCAAACAGUGUGCCUCCCUGGAUGGGGGCAGAGGGCAAGGGCUGCUAUCAGCAUAAGA